rnacentral:sRNA from 1 species
GCUGGGCGUGGUGGCUCACGCCUGUAAUCCCAGCACUUUAGGAGGCCGAGGUGGGCGGAUCACCUGAGGUCAGGAGUUUGAGACCAGCCUGACCAACAUGGAGAAACCCCAUCUCUA